UGAAGGUGUGAGGAGCUGGGGCUCACCUCAGAGCAAGUCAGCAGCUGUAGAACCUCACCCUUGCUGGCCUUCACCUUUGGGGACAGGGGGUCUUUCCAUGGAGGUCACUAAAUAUGCUCUUUUCAUUCCCCCUAUCGUGUGAACUUCACAAGAACCCCCAAAUCUUCUGUUUACGUGGGGGCAGACACUGGAGGCUUGGAGGCCCCCACCUUUGUCAAUUCCCCCCAAACUGUUCCAAAUUAAGUCACCCCAAAGAAAACCUGGGAACCUAUUCUUAAGCACAAAAGUCCCCUCCAUCUUGACAGCCUUUUCCAAACCCCUCUGCCAAGUUCCUAGUCUCAAACUUGCCCACCUAAAU
rnacentral:lncRNA from 1 species